rnacentral:rRNA from 1 species
AGAGUUUGAUCCUGGCUCAGGACGAACGCUGGCGGCGCGCCUAACACAUGCAAGUCGAACGAGCGAGAGAGAGCUUGCUUUCUCGAGCGAGUGGCGAACGGGUGAGUAACGCGUGAGGAACCUGCCUCAAAGAGGGGGACAACAGUUGGAAACGACUGCUAAUACCGCAUAAGCCCACGGGUCGGCAUCGACCAGAGGGAAAAGGAGCAAUCCGCUUUGAGAUGGCCUCGCGUCCGAUUAGCUAGUUGGUGAGGUAAUGGCCCACCAAGGCGACGAUCGGUAGCCGGACUGAGAGGUUGAACGGCCACAUUGGGACUGAGACACGGCCCAGACUCCUACGGGAGGCAGCAGUGGGGAAUAUUGCACAAUGGGGGAAACCCUGAUGCAGCGACGCCGCGUGGAGGAAGAAGGUCUUCGGAUUGUAAACUCCUGUUGUUGAGGAAGAUAAUGACGGUACUCAACAAGGAAGUGACGGCUAACUACGUGCCAGCAGCCGCGGUAAAACGUAGGUCACAAGCGUUGUCCGGAAUUACUGGGUGUAAAGGGAGCGCAGGCGGGAAGACAAGUUGGAAGUGAAAUCCAUGGGCUCAACCCAUGAACUGCUUUCAAAACUGUUUUUCUUGAGUAGUGCAGAGGUAGGCGGAAUUCCCGGUGUAGCGGUGGAAUGCGUAGAUAUCGGGAGGAACACCAGUGGCGAAGGCGGCCUACUGGGCACCAACUGACGCUGAGGCUCGAAAGUGUGGGUAGCAAACAGGAUUAGAUACCCUGGUAGUCCACACCGUAAACGAUGAUUACUAGGUGUUGGAGGAUUGACCCCUUCAGUGCCGCAGUU